UACGAAGGGGGCUAGCGUUGUUCGGAAUUACUGGGCGUAAAGCGCACGUAGGCGGCUUUGUAAGUCAGGGGUGAAAUCCCGGGGCUCAACCUCGGAACUGCCUUUGAUACUGCAAAUCUCGAGUCCGGAAGAGGUGAGUGGAAUUCCUAGUGUAGAGGUGAAAUUCGUAGAUAUUAGGAAGAACACCAGUGGCGAAGGCGGCUCACUGGCCCGGUACUGACGCUGAGGUGCGAAAGCGUGGGGAGCAAACAGG
rnacentral:rRNA from 1 species